AUGCUCCGGCACCGGUGCUGCGUCCUCACUCAGCUCCUCUCGUUUCCCUCCGCCUCUCCCACCUCCCAGAUCCACCGCCUCAUCUCCGCCGCAGCGCCCGCCGUCUCCCCGAACCCUAGCUUCGCCGUGCAGGACUACCCCGCCGUCGUCGCGGGAGACCCCAAGGUACUCUGCUCCAGAGUGGAGGGAUACCUUGGCCCCGUCGUCGCCCAGCUCACCGGCCUCGGCCUCUCGCGUUCUCAGGUCGCGCGCCUCAUCUCCUACGGCCGCGGCAACUUACAUCUCACAUCCAUCGUCUCCAAGCUGCAGUACUACCUGCCCCUCUUCGGUUCCAUAGACAACACCCUUCGAGUUCUCAAGCGCGGCCUUUACCUUAUCUCGUCUGAUCUUGAGAGGGUGGUCAAGCCCAAUGUCGCAACCGGCUGGGUGAUUGCGACAUUGCCAAGCUGUGCAUCCCUAAUCCAUGGCUGCUCACAACCAAUGCAGAAUCCAUCCGGGCAAUGGUGUCAUGCGCUGAAAGUCUUGGUGUGCCCCGUGGAUCUCGGAUGUUCAGGCAUGCCGUGUCUGCUGUUGCGUACCUCAGCGAGGAGAAGAUUGCUGCUAAAGUGGGGUACUUGA
rnacentral:rRNA from 1 species